GGGGUAAUGGCUACCAAGGCAUCGACGGGUAGCUGGUCUGAGAGGAUGAUCAGCCACACUGGGACUGAGACACGGCCCAGACUCCUACGGGAGGCAGCAGUGGGGAAUCUUGCACAAUGGGCGCAAGCCUGAUGCAGCAACGCCGCGUGCGGGAAGAAGGCCUUAGGGUUGUAAACCGCUUUCAGUAGGGAAGAAAAUGACGGUACCUACAGAAGAAGGUGCGGCCAACUACGUGCCAGCAGCCGCGGUAACACGUAGGCACCAAGCGUUAUCCGGAUUUAUUGGGCGUAAAGAGCUCGUAGGCGGUUCAGUCAGUCGGGUGUGAAAACUUGAGGCUUAACCUCAAGAGGUCACUCGAUACUACUGUGACUAGAGUGCGGUAGGGGAGCGGGGAAUUCCUGGUGUAGCGGUGAAAUGCGCAGAUAUCAGGAGGAACACCAGUGGCGAAGGCGCCGCUCUGGGCCGUAACUGACGCUGAGGAGCGAAAGCAUGGGUAGCAAACAGGAUUAGAUACCCUGGUAGUCCAUGCCGUAAACGUUGGGCACUAGGUGUG
rnacentral:rRNA from 1 species